GAGGACAAUUUUAGCCUUCAAUUGGCGUCAUAUUUUCGUUUGUAAAUUUUCCUUUUUCCCCCAAAACCUUCUCGUGGAAGUGAGUAUCUGGUUCUCGAGAGCUUUGCAUUGUUGACUCCGAUGGAUCGAACACAGAUAGAUCUGUUAGGGCUGCCGAUCUUUCUGCUUUUGACUGAUAUUGUGAAUCUUUUUACUCCUCCGCCUCCUAAACCGGCCAAUCACUCUCCACCUCGAGUUCACUAUCAGCCUAAAUCUGAAUCAGUCAUCCAGGAACCGAUUGAAUUUCCUACGGAGAAACAGAGCGGAAUCGGAGGAAUUGGCCAUGGCAGCGUUAUCAAUAUCAAUUUCCGCGUUUCUUGUUCUUCAGGUAGUUCAUCUUCAUUAUUAUAAAAGUUUGUGUCUAUCUGUCUCAUUUUGGGCGGAAAAGGUACUGCAAUAACGAUGAAAAAUAUGCUGGAGUCAUCAUUUCCUGGAGUUGAAGUUAUUUUGGCAAAUUAUCCCCCACUCCUCCCAAAGCGUCUUCUCAGUAAAGUAGUACCCGUCGUCCAAUUUGGAAUCAUUGCAACAAUAAUGGCGGGGGAACAGAUUUUUCCUAGGUUGGGGAUGGCACCACCACCUUGGUACUAUUCCUUGCGUGCUAAUAGGUUAGAAGCAUCGCAAGCACUUGGCUGUUUGGAAAUUUUAUCCAGUCGUUCUUACAAAGUUCUGGAGCCUUCGAAGUAUAUUGCAAUGGUGAAAUGUUGAAGGAGCAGUGAUUUCCUGGUGAGAUCGAGUUGAGAGACGUUAUUGGUAGGAAACUUUCUGGGUCAAGAUUUGUUGACGACUCAGGAGGGGUUUGGUCAUAGCCAAGCAGGAGCAUGUUUGAGAGAUAGAUCCAGUUUCAAUAUGCCUAUCCUAAACAUAAUCCCUGGCUAGCGAAACAGUUUGAAGCCUGCUGCGCUACCCAAAGUAAGCCGCCGAUAACCUUUUUGGCUGCCUAUCAACAGGUAAUAGACUUUGCUGGUGAGCAGACCAAUGGUAUCAUUUACUAUUAACUUCGGAAAUGUUUGUUUAAAAAUGAACUAAUGAGUAGUGCUGUAAGGAUUUUGAUAACAACAUCUAGGUUUUUAAACUAAAAAAAUUUAAAUUUCAACUUUAUUAAGAAUUCACAAAUCUAUGAAAAAAAAAUUUAAAAUUUUAAUCUUUUAUUAGACACCAUAUUUAGUUUUAUGUAUAAUUAAUUUGUGAAUGACUCAUUUGACAAUCUCUAUAUACAAAAUUAUCUAGUAUUUUUUUUUAUAAGUAUAAGUACAUCAAACUUUAGUGAUUAAUUUAUAAUAUAACUAAGAAAAUUCUCACCAUGUACAAUAUUUUGAUGAUGAAUAUAGAGUUAGGCAUGUUUAAUUCUUGUUCAUAAACGCUUGCUUCAAACUUGUAAAUUUUUAUAUCACGUG